rnacentral:RNase_P_RNA from 1 species
AAGGCAGGUUAGACGGUCGCCCCAUUUGGGGAGGAAAGUCCGAGCUUUCAAGGGCAGGGUGCCUCGUAACACGAGGGGUCCGUAAGGACACGGAAAGCGCCACAGAAAACAAACUACCCAUCCGGGAAAAGGUGAAAAGGCGGUGUAAGAGACCACCGCAUCGAUGGAGACAUCGAUGGCACGGCAAGCCCCACCCGAAAGAAAAGCCAAAUAGAGGGAGAGAGGUUGCCCGCCUCAAUUGAUCCCCGGGUAGGCCGCUUGAGGUCGUGCGCGAGCGCGAUCCCAGAUAGAUGAUCGUCACCCGUUAGGGAACAGAACUCGGCUUACAGACCUGCCUUGAUA